ensembl:lncRNA
GUGAGGUCCUUUUCAAAGGGAUAAUGUUUUGAGUAUGGUGUACAGUGCAAUGUGUUUUUUAAGGUUAUUGAAGGUUUAUGUACAUUUAAAUUCUCUUUCCUCUCAGACAUUGAUGUCAGUAACCCUGAUGAGAAGUCUAUCAUGACAUACAUUGCUCAGUUCCUGCAGUACUCCAAUGAUCUGCCCGUAGCUGAUGAUGAUUUUGAGGUAAGACCAUCUCCAACUGAAACUCCCAUCUAGAUCUCUGCUUUUGUUUGUCUGGCUUUUUAUUCAUUCAUUUCUCUAACCCUCUUUCCCACAUAUGGCUCUUUAACUUUGCUUUCUCCUACUCUCUGUCGCCCCCUCCUGGUUGGAUGCAGCUUCAAACUCUGCUCUUUCCCACAUGCCUUUCUCCUGUCAACCUCCCUACAUACUUCACUCCUGCUGUGCUGGCCUCACCAAUCCACCAGGUACAGACGUCACAGAGCGCUUGUGAAUUCCUCCACAGUUUUCCUCUAUCAAAAUAUCAUUCCAGCAUCAGCCUCUACUUGUUUCAACAUGCUUUCUGAUUUUACAAUCAAUCUCGAAUUCGGUUCUAUGUUUCCUGCCCUGCCCUGCCCUGCCCUGCCCUUAGGCUUCACCCAGUCAGAAAGCCAGAGAGAUGAAAUGCUGGCUAGAGCGAGCCUAUCAGGAGUUACUGGAGGCGUGGAAUUCCACAGAAGGGAAGGGAUAUGCACAGAGGUAUCAGGCAUUUCAGAACUUUGUGGGGACUUAUUAUGACCAACGACGUCCAGUUAUUCCACUUCUCAGUGCAAUGAGACGCUGCGCUAAACUAAGUGAGGAGCAGAUGGCACUGAGAAAAGCAUGGGACAGCAUGGAGGAGAGGGUGAAUUCUGCUUAUUAAAUAUGUCACCAAAUACAAAUUGAAAUUAGGCAGUUCUGAUAGUCUUGGGAAUGGACUGGAAAUUCCAAACAAAUCACACCAAUAUUGUUUUUUUAGCUGUCAUAGAAAAACUUUAUAUCAGAAUAUUUUCUGAGUAUUAUUUUUUUUAAACAUAACAAACCCAGCAACAACCUUAUAGCAGCAUAAAAUCCAAAUAUUAUUUGCUAUAAAAACCAUAAAUAUAAAUAAACUUAACAAUCUAAAUAAAUAAUUCA